UGGUGCAUGGUUGUCGUCAGCUCGUGUCGUGAGAUGUUGGGUUAAGUCCCGCAACGAGCGCAACCCUUUGUGUUUAGUUGCAAACAGGUCAAGCUGUGCACUCUAGACAGACUGCCGUGGACAACACGGAGGAAGGUGGGGAUGACGUCAAAUCAUCAUGCCCCUUAUGAUCUGGGCUACACACGUGCUACAAUGGCCGGUACAACGGGCAGCGAAGGAGCGAUCCGGAGCGAAUCCUAAAAAGCCGGUCCCAGUUCGGAUUGCAGGCUGAAACUCGCCUACAUGAAGUUGGAGUUGCUAGUAAUCGCGAAUCAGAAUGUCGCGGUGAAUGCGUUCCCGGGUCUU
rnacentral:rRNA from 1 species